GUACUACUGAUGAGUUCUAGACUAGGACGAAACAGCUGUCCAGAAC
rnacentral:hammerhead_ribozyme from 1 species